CUCCUUUUCUUUUUGCGAAUACAGACUAACACGGCUGCUACUCUGAAACCUUCUCUAAGAUUCAUGUUGGUAGGGGGCUGAAUUAUUGUGAUGUCUAUUUCUGAAGUGUGAGGAGUGCCUAGCCUUUUGCCUUGACUUCCUUGCAACUGUGGUUCAAAUCAGGCCAGCUACUGGUUGUGAACUCGAUGGAAAGGAAAGACACACACGUACAAACGAGGGACAACAGUUCUAGAUUAAUGUUUCUUUGAAAGACAGGUUUCUUCCACCCUCCCAAUCUGUUUGGUGUUUGACAGUUGUCAAGCUAAUGCCCAAACACUCAGUUCAGACCAAUGCAUAAGCACUGACCUUGGACUGAAAAACCUGAUGGAAAUAAUUGCUCAAAGCACCAGCCCAGUAGCCUAGCAGAGGUGGGACGAAAGGUCUUGUGAGUGAGUGCACCUUCCCGAUAACUCAACAAGCCUUAUGCCACUCUCAUAAAGGGUCCGAUCCAACACUUACAGAACACAAUGGAGUCUUUCUAUUGACUUCAGUGGGCACUGGAUUAAGAUCUUCCUCUGUGUUUAUACCUUCAUUGGCUUCAAUAGUGUCACUCCUACUUUACACUAGUAUCAGUGAGAGGAGAAUCCGGUUCAAUGUUCUCAGAUACCAUGGUGAUGAGCACAGUCUAUGAACCUAAACAGAAGAGAAUGAGGAUUUGUGCCUGCUUAUUCCAGAGCUG